GCUCAACGACUCCCACACGAUUCGCUCAACGAUUCAUUUUUCCAAACGCCUCCUUUGCUUGACUCUAAUCUGCGGUGAUUAGUCUGAUUGGUCUCAUAUUCAUUUCAUCAUGAGCCUGUAAUGCCUGAUUAAGCGCAGUGCUGCUUUGUGUACAGCGUU